UCGAAAGAGAGAGGUACUACUGCUGUUGAGAGAUAACAGGAGAGAGCCAUAGUUUUUCCCUUACUUGUGAUGGUUAGUUAGGGUUUUUUUAGCACGGGAAGAUAAAGGAAGAUGAUUAGAGGCGGAAACAAUCAGAGAUUUCAAAAUUGAUUCAAAUCUAAGGUGAAAUCAAGUGAAAUGGAUACAGAUGAUGUAGUGGUACUGCUGUUGGUGGUGAUAGUACUAGUGGUAUCAAUGGUUUGUCAAUGAUGGAAAUCAUGUUAAAUAAGCACUUAAGAGAUGAUGGACAAGGUGGUGAAGAUUGGGUCGCGUUCGAAAUGGAGUUUGAAAUGCCAGUGAUGGUGCUGCCAUUGUUGGAUCGGUGACUGGUGGAGAAGAACUCAAGCAGAUUGAUGAAAGUUGAUGGAGUCUAUGAUAAGGACAGAGUUAGCAAGGAAAGUUGAGUUGGUUUUUUGCUGCAUUUGUGGUAGUGAUGAGUUAAUUAUAGUUGGUGGUGAUUCAGGGACCGAAUCCGGAGAACAAAGAAGAAGAAGAAUGACCGAUGUUGUCAGGGACGGAUGAUUGAGAGAUUGAGCUAUAAGACGUCACAGUGAUGUUGGUGAUAAUUGAUGAUGGAUAGUUCGAGUUGGUUUACAUCAACAGGGUGUUGUGGUUUUAUAGAGAUGCUGCUGCGAACAUAUGGGAAAGAACCGUCAGCCGUUGGUCAUUUGAGUUGUAUACGAUUCUGGGUAUAGUACCAUUGAGAAGUAAGGGAAAGAAAGAGCUUGAUAUGAUUGACAAUGAAUAAUGGGCGAUUGAGAAUGUAUUUUGAGUUUUUUUUUGAAUGCUUUGGACAAUGGGUUUGAUUUGUUAAUGGUCAUUUGAUCUAUUUAAAGGUCGUUGAUCUGUUAAUGGUCACA